UACAGAGGUCUCAAGCGUUGUUCGGAAUCACUGGGCGUAAAGGGUGCGUAGGCCGCACGGUAAGUCAGAGGUGAAAUCCCGGAGCUCAACUCCGGAAUGGCCUCCGAUACUGCCGUGCUCGAGGACUGGAGAGGAGUCUGGAAUUCACAGUGGAGCAGUGAAAUGCGUGGAUAUUGUGAGGAACACUAGUGGCGAAGGCGAGACUCUGGACAGUUCCUGAUGCUGAGGCACGAAGGUCAGGGGAGCAAACGGG
rnacentral:rRNA from 1 species